UCUGCAAAUUUAGAGACUUUUGAUACUUUUUUGGCCAUCAAACGCCUCUCCCUUGCCUUAGUUUUCUCAGCUUUCCCUCGGGCUACCAGUGUCAAUCGAAACAGGGGUCUGGUCUCUUGUGGUUUUUGCUCAGUUGUUCGACCCAGAAAUUGGAGGUUGGGUUUCUUUCUUUCUAUCUGCAGGUCUGAUUCUACUUGGCGUAAUCCGUUCCUUUUGUCACCUAACUAUUACCAGAGGUACAGACUUCUGCAUAUAAAAUAAAAAAAUUCAUCAAGAAAUGCAGGUUGGGUCUCUACCUUUCCAUGAG